AGCAGCCGCGGUAAUUCCAGCUCCAAUAGCGUAUAUUAAAGUUGCUGCAGUUAAAAAGCUCGUAGUUGAAUUUCGGGACUAAUAUGUCGGUCGUGCCUCGGUACGUACUGGUUUAUUGGUUUCUCCUUUCUGAAGAACCAUGAUGUCAUUUAUUUGGUGUCGUGGGGAAUCAGGACUGUUACUUUGAAAAAUUAGAGUGUUUAAAGCAGGCUCACGCUUGAAUACAUUAGCAUGGAAUAAUGAAAUAGGACGUUUGAUUCUAUUUUGUUGGUUUCUAGGAUCGACGUAAUGAUUAAUAGGGAUAGUUGGGGGCAUUAGUAUUCAAUUGUCAGAGGUGAAAUUCUUGGAUUUAUUGAAGACUAACUACUGCGAAAGCAUUUGCCAAGGAUGUUUUCAUUAAUCAAGAACGAAAGUUAGGGGAUCGAAGACGAUCAGAUACCGUCGUAGUCUUAACCAUAAACUAUGCCGACUAGGGAUCGGAUGAUGUUAAUUUUUAAUGUACUCAUUCGGCGCCUUAACC
rnacentral:rRNA from 1 species